rnacentral:lncRNA from 1 species
CACAUUCCCAGAGAAAAAGAAGCUAACAAUUCCGUGAAGCACUCUGAACAGGACUGCAGAACUACAGCUGUGCCUCUGCCUCUGCUGCAUCGUUGCUGCCCUCUGUGUGCAAUGGUAGUGAAGCCAGGAGACUCCUUUGGUGAUGAUCACUCUCAGAAAGCUCAGGAAUCCAAGGUGGAGAAAUACCUCUUCUCAAUAACAUCCCGGCUCCCCUGGCUUUAUUCAGGGAUUUGACUUCAUCUUCUCAUCUGCAUGCACUUAAGCCCCAGCACCCAGAC